AUUGAACGCUGGCGGCAGGCCUAACACAUGCAAGUCGAACGAGUGGCGGACGGGUGAGUAAUGUCUGGGAAACUGCCUGAUCGAGGGGGAUAACUACUGGAAACGGUAGCUAAUACCGCAUACCCUCGGAUGUGCCCAGAUGGGAUUAGCUAGUAGGUGGGGUAAAGGCUCACCUAGGCGACGAUCCCUAGCUGGUCUGCGAGGAGGACCGGCCACACUGGAACUGAGACACGGUCCAGACUCCUACGGGAGGCAGCAGUGGGGAAUAUUGCACAAUGGGCGAAAGUCUGAUGCAGCCAUGCCGCGUGUAUGAAGAAGGCCUUCGGGUUGUAAAGUACUUUCAUCGGGGAGGCGUUACCCGCAGAAGAAGCACCGGCUAACUCCGUGCCAGCAGCCGCGGUAAUAC
rnacentral:rRNA from 1 species